rnacentral:rRNA from 1 species
GACGAACGCUGGCGGCGUGCCUAAUACAUGCAAGUUGAGCGAUGAAGAUUGGUGCUUGCCCCAAUUUGAAGAGCAGCGAACGGGUGAGUAACGCGUGGGGAAUCUGCCUUUGAGCGGGGGACAACAUUUGGAAACGAAUGCUAAUACCGCAUAACAACUUUAAACAUAAGUUUUAAGUUUGAAAGAUGCAAUUGCAUCACUCAAAGAUGAUCCCGCGUUGUAUUAGCUAGUUGGUGAGGUAAAGGCUCACCAAGGCGAUGAUACAUAGCCGACCUGAGAGGGUGAACGGCCACAUUGGGACUGAGACCCGGCCCAAACUCCUACGGGGGGCAGCAGUAGGGAAUCUUCGGCAAUGGACGAAAGUCUGACCGAGCAACGCCGCGUGAGUGAAGAAGGUUUUCGGAUCGUAAAACUCUGUUGGUAGAGAAGAACGUUGGUGAGAGUGGAAAGCUCAUCAAGUGACGGUAACUACCCAGAAAGGGACGGCUAACUACGUG